AUCAUAAAGAUACGGAUCGGCAUGUUAGAAAGCGCAUCUAGUAAUGGUAUAUUUAUAUUAACGAAAAGCAACGAUUGAUACCUGACGUUGGCGUAUCAAAAACGAAGAUUAUAUAUUCUGUCUGUAUAUUGUUAACACUGUUAUAGAACGAUGUGAGGGCAAAAGAAGUAUGAAGCAAGACAAAUGAAAAUGAUCAUUUAGUUUAAAAAACGGAUUUGUAACGCAGUAUGAUCUUGAAUCUGCAACCUAUAAUACUACUAUAUUAUCGACAGACGAAAUAUGAGAAUAGACAAAUUACCUUAUGGACCUUCGUAGCCCAACGCGAAUGUCAUACCAACUUAGGAAUUUGAUACUAAUUUUAGCGUCUUUUAUUCACAAACGGCGGCCAUUUGAUAAAGUAUUUAUGAAAGAAGUAUUAGUGAGAACUAAACAACAGUCAUGUGUAAAUGCAUGUGUGCCGAUAGAGAGGGGAGACGUUUGAUAGGCAAUUGCGUGCUAGAUGGAGUCACGAUAUGUAUCGCGCAAAUAUUAUAUAAGACACACACAAAUAAAGAAAUAGACGAGUGAACAAAGCUACAGCGGUUUUUACUAGUAAACUAAAUAAUUUCAAAAUCAUAAAAUAUCUUUAAAAGUUUCUUUUACAGAUACACCAUGCAUAUAUGUAUUUCAACAAAGUAAGUUUAUCGACCACAUGUUUAUAACUUGCGUUGCAUCUCGCUGUUUACAGAAAAAUCAGAGUUUAAUAAUUCACGUGAGGCAUAUAUCGAUAAAGAAGAUUUCUGUAAUUGUUACACAUGUUUUCAUGUUGCAUUAUAGUGAUUUUAUUUUUAUCUUAAAUCGUAAUAAUGUUUGGAUAUAUAAAUAUGUAGUUUUACAAAAUCAGGUAGAUUCUUUUUAUGGAAAUAUAUUUGUUUAUAAUUUUGUCAUAGAAGAAAAUUUGGGAAUCUUUCCCUAAUUUCUUAUAUCGUUAUUUUUCUCAGUUAAUUCAAUCAUGGUAGUUUACUUUCAGCUAGAUGGACUACAAACCUACAAACAAGUGGCUAUGAUUGUUAUUAAUAUAGAAAGAGGACAUUUUAAAUGUCUUUCUUUCAUGUUAAUUCCAUUACCACUAUACGUACAUAUAGAAUGAUAAAAACAAUAAUAAUAGAUAAUUAUAACAAACAUACGUACUUGGUAAUAUUAACAGAAUUGGCCAUGUGAAGCCAUGAAAGAAGAACUUACCAAUUCCACUUUGAAAACUUCCACCACCUUCAGAUUCGCAUCUGGCAUAGGCAAAACAGGUUCGUUAAUGUUAAAUAGAAGAAGGUUGAACUUGUUGAACCUUUUUCUCUUCUGAAUUUUCAUAUACAGUUUUUCGUAUUUACAUGUCUCCACAAAAGACGAAGCCGACAAUAGUUUAAAUUCCAGUAUCGGAACUCUCAGAACAGUUCAGUAAAUAGAAAUAUUAUCUAAUUUUGCGACUGCUGAGUCUUUGAUUUCCUUGAUUCAUUCUUAUGGUGAAGAGAUCAAGUUUAGUAUUAAUCUCGGAUAAAGCAGCAUGAGGAGAGGCCUGUAGACGAUCGAAUAAUGAUGAUAAAGAAUUGUCAUCCGAUCCGUGCAAAUCUGAGGAUGUUGAGGUUGAAUCAGAGCAGUUUAUGAGUGUGUCGGUGGACUAAGAGUGACCAGAUCUCAUCAAGCAUAAAGAGCGUGCAUAGAAACUAAUUCCACAAGAUACACAAGUCACAGGUUUGUCACUAUCACUAAUCCACAAUCUAAUACAGCAAUCGUUAUAGGUGUAAUAGAGUUCAAUAGGACACUUAUUCACAAGAAUAUAAAACAGUCCGAGAAAACUAGGUUGGUAACAGUAGAAUACACAGAGCAAAACAAGACACGGCUUAGCACAGCAAUUACGAAGUAGUCUUAACACGUCACCUCGCAAGGUCAGCAUUUGUUUGCUUAAUCGCUUCAACUCAGCUUAAAAACUAAGUCGCGAGAUAGUUUUUCAUAUAACUCGUAAACUAAGACCGACCGCCGGUUAUAUGCUCAGGAAAAAAUUGUUCAAAAUGUUGAGACUUACAAGAUACUACAUAUUUAACAUUAAAAUUGUAAAGGGCGUUACAUUGACAGAUUCACCAAUUAAGCGUGAUAGCCAAAUACCGAGUUCUUCACGAUUUUGAAUACUACAAACUGUGAAUCGACAUUAACUAUACAAUAGUUAUAAAAUUUUUUUUUUAUUUAUUUAUUUAAAUUUUACAAUUUGUCCAGACAUUUGGUAAAGUAUUAUAGCGGUAUACUAAUAUAUCAUGUGGGUGGCUACCCCCAGUGGGGUACCAUCAUCGUGUUUGUUAGGUUAUGUCCUUUGUGAGAUCUGUUGGGCGAAUAACUAUAAAAUUUUUUUUUUAUUAUUUAUUUAUUUAAAUUUUACAAUUUGUCCAGUAGGACAUUUGGUAAAGUAUUAUAGCGGUAUACUAAUAUAUCAUGUGGGUGGCUACCCCCAGCGGGGUACCAUCAUCGUGUUUGUUAGGCUAUGUCCUUUGUGAGAUCUGUUGGGUGAAUAACUAUAAAAUGAUGCUAUAAUAUUAUGAAUAAUAAAUUGACACAAUAUAUAAUUCUAUAUUCCAGAAUUUAAAACGUAAUAGUUCAAUAAACGAUUCGCUUAAAGUUAUUCACAUUCACAUUUUACAAAAUUUCAUUUACGUCGAGUAAUAUUAACGUUUCCAUAGACUAGGCAUGUUGUGUUUAAUAAUAACAAAAUAUAGUGUUGCAGAACAUUUAUUAUUGUUAUAAUAAUGUAGAAGUGCACAAUGUGCCAUCUCAGACGUGAAUCUUUUAUAUAUGUAUAUAUAUAUGUAUGUAUUUAUUAGUUACAGUGUCAAGGUCACGGAAUGUCCAGUCAACUAUCCAGUCAACUAUCUUCUCGUCAUUCCUGUCACAUAAUACGUUUUCUAUAUUACACUUCUCUUUCCUCUUUCUAUUUAUAAUCUUACUGUUCUCAGAUAAUACGUACCUCUGCUAGCAAUUUCCUAGUCAAUACCUGUUAAAAUUUCUUAAAUUCCUACAUCUGGUCCUAGCAAUUAACUUCUGACUGCUUUUGUUCUCACUUCUCAGGUACUCCAAUAUAGUACUGUAGAUCUGUAUAUUAUACUAUAGCAUCUUACAGGCCAAUGCCAUUAAUUCCUGCGUUUUCCAAAAUUCUAGAGAAAAUAAUAUACGACCGUCUAAAACCAACAAUAGGGAAAGAAAAUUGAAAAUAUCCAAUUGAACGGUACUCACAUAACACAAACAAGGCAAGUUAAAUACCGAGUACUUCACUUAACAUACAACUUACAUGGGAGCAACAUACAUAGGAAAUAAAUUACAAAUAUACAAAACGAUAAUAAAAUAAAUUUGGACGUACG